AUUGAACGCUGGCGGCAGGCCUAACACAUGCAAGUCGAGCGAGCGGCGGGCGGGUGAGUAGUGAUAGGGGAACUGCCUGAUGGAGGGGGAGAACACCAGGAAACGGUAGAUAAUACAGGCUACAAUCAGAAGUGCCCAGAUGGGGUUAGCUAGUAGGUGGGGUAACGGCUCACCUAGGCGACGAUCCCUAGAUGGUCUGAGAGGAUGACCAGCCACACUGGAACUGAGACCCUGUCCAGACUCCUACGGGAGGCAGCAGGGGGUACUAUUGCACCAUGGGCGCAGGCCUGAUGCAGCCAUGCCGCGUGUUUUAAGAAGGCCUGCGGUUUGUAAAGCACUUUCAUCGGGCAGGCGGUCCUCGCAGAAGAAGCACCGGCCACCUCCGCGCCAGCAGCCGCGGUAAUAC
rnacentral:rRNA from 1 species